rnacentral:rRNA from 1 species
UACAAGCGAAAACUGCGAAUGGCUCAUUAUAUAAGUUAUCGUUUAUUUGAUAGUACCUUACUACAUGGAUAACCGUGGUAAUUCUAGAGCUAAUACAUGCUGAAAAUCCCGACUUCGGAAGGGAUGUAUUUAUUAGAUUCAAAACCAAUGCCCUUCGGGGCUCCUUUGGUGAUUCAUGAUAACUUCUCGAAUCGCACGGCCCCGUGCCGGCGAUGGUUCAUUCAAAUUUCUUCCCUAUCAACUUUCGAUGCUACGGUAUUGUCCUAGCAUGGUUGCAACGGGUGACGGAGGGUUAGGGCUCGACCCCGGAGAAGGAGCCUGAGAAACGGCUACUACAUCCAAGGAAGGCAGCAGGCGCGCAAAUUACCCAAUCCCGACUCGGGGAGGUAGUGACGAUAAAUACCGAUACAGGGCUCUUUUGGGUCCUGUAAUUGGAAUGAGUACAAUUCAAAUCCCUUAACGAGGAACAAUUGGAGGGCAAGUCUGGUGCCAGCAGCCGCGGUAAUUCCAGCUCCAAUAGCGUAUAUUAAAGUUGUUGUGGUUAAAAAGCUCGUAGUAGAAGCUCGGGCUCCGGCCGACCGGUCCGCCUCACCGCGUGCACUGGUUCGGCCGGGCCUUCACCUUCUGCGGAACCGCAUCCCCUUCACUGGGGGUGUCGGGGAAACAGGACGUUUACUUUGAAAAAAUUAGAGUGCUCCAGGCAGGCCUAUGCUCGAAUAGAUUAGCAUGGAAUAAUGGAAUAGGACGUGUGGUCUUAUUUCGUUGGUUUCUAGGACCGCCGUAAUGAUUAAUAGGGACAGUCGGGGGCAUCAGUAUUCAAUCGUCARAGGUGAAAUUCUUGGAUCGAUUGAARACUAACUACUGCSAAAGCAUUUGCCAAGGAUGUUUUCAUUUAUCAGGAACGAAAGUUAGGGGAUCGAAGACRAUCAGAUACCGUCGUARUCUUAACCAUAAACUAUGCCGACUAGGGAUCGGACGGUGUUAUUUCUUGACCCGUUCGGCACCUUACGARAMAUCAAAGUGCUNGGCUCCA